AAGGGCUUGAUUGUACUCAUGGAUGAAAAGCUUGACAUGAGACAGCGAUGUGUACUUUCAACCCAGAAAACCAAUUGUAUCUUGGACUACAUCAAAAGAAUUAUGACCAGCAUGUUGAGGCAGGUAAACUGACAGAAACAGAAUGACCUUCAAAUAACUUCUAGCCUGCAUUUGGAAAGAAACAGUUCUCUGGAGCUGACCAAUGGCACUAUGGGACAUCUGCUUGAAGGUCACAAACACAAUUUAUAUGAUUUACUUGGCACAACGAAGUGUAUAAUAUAUAUAUGAAUGGUGCAACAUCAAAAUAUAAAAUCUUGACUCUACAAAGCUGCACUGUUAUCCUGAGCUUCAGGGAUAUUAUUAUUUCCAGGGAAUGGAAAAUUUUCAUUAAUGCUAUGAGGACAACACAAAAUCAUGCACCUCAAAUAUGAAUGCAUCUACUGCUUUAAUGGAGAACAUAGAGGUGAAGUCCAAUAAAACCAAUAUGCUUGUCUUCUCAGGGAA